rnacentral:rRNA from 1 species
UACGGAGGGUGCAAGCGUUAUCCGGAUUCACUGGGUUUAAAGGGUGCGUAGGUGGGCAGGUAAGUCAGUGGUGAAAUCUCCGGGCUUAACUCGGAAACUGCCGUUGAUACUAUCUGUCCUGAAUAUCGUGGAGGUUAGCGGAAUAUGUCAUGUAGCGGUGAAAUGCUUAGAUAUGACAUAGAACACCCAUUGCGAAGGCAGCUAACUACACGAUCAUUGACACUGAGGCACGAAAGCGUGGGGAGCAAACAGG